rnacentral:rRNA from 1 species
GACGAACGCUGGCGGCAUGCUUAACACAUGCAAGUCGAACGGAUGUAGCAAUACAUCAGUGGCGGACGGGUGAGUAAUGCAUGAGCAACCCGCCCUAUGCAGGGGGAUAACACAAAGAAAUUUGUGCUAAUACCGCAUAAGCCCACGAGAGGGAAUCCUCAUGUGGGAAAAGAAUUAUCGGCAUAGGAUGGGCUCAUGUCCCAUUAGGUAGUUGGCGGGGUAACGGCCCACCAAGCCCGCGAUGAGUAGCCGACCUGAGAGGGUGAUCGGCCACACUGGAACUGAGAUACGGUCCAG